CCAAUAGCGUAUAUUAAAGUUGUUGCAGUUAAAAAGCUCGUAGUUGAAUUUCGGGAUCAGUACGUCGGUUGUGCCUUCGGUACGUGCUGGCGUCGCUGAUUUCUCCCUUCUGACGAACCGUGAUGCCAUUAAUUUGGUGUUGCGGGGAAUCAGGACUGUUACUUUGAAAAAAUUAGAGUGUUUAAAGCGGGCACGCGCUUGAAUACAUUAGCAUGGAAUAACGAAAUAGGACGUUCGAUCUUAUUUUGUUGGUUUCUAGGAUUGACGUAAUGAUUAAUAGGGAUAGUUGGGGGCAUUAGUAUUCAAUUGUCAGAGGUGAAAUUCUUGGAUUUAUUGAAGACUAACUACUGCGAAAGCAUUUGCCAAGGAUGUUUUCAUUAAUCAAGAACGAAAGUUAGGGGAUCGAAGACGAUCAGAUACCGUCGUAGUCUUAACCAUAAACUAUGCCGACUAGGGAUCGGAUGAUGUUAAUUUUAUAAUGACUCAUUCGGCGCCUUACG
rnacentral:rRNA from 1 species